UACGGAGGGGGCUAGCGUUGUUCGGAAUUACUGGGCGUAAAGCGCGCGUAGGCGGACCUGCAAGUCGGGGGUGAAAGCCCGAGGCUCAACCUCGGAACUGCCUUCGAUACUGCGGGUCCCGAGUCCGGGAGAGGUGAGUGGAAUUCCUAGUGUAGAGGUGAAAUUCGUAGAGAUUAGGAAGAACACCAGUGGCGGAGGCGGCUCACUGGCCCGGUACUGACGCUGAGGUGCGAAAGCGUGGGGAGCAAACAGG
rnacentral:rRNA from 1 species